CAACCGGUAGGUAAGGCUACCACAGGGAUACGGAUUGCUACCGCAAAAUAGUGGAGACACUAUAAGAUGGUUAGCAGACGAUGUCGAUUCAAGGCAUAAUCUAACGCAAUUACACAGCCCUGUGACGCUAAAGCUUGUAUGGAUG
rnacentral:sRNA from 1 species